ACUAAGCGUACACGGUGGAUGCCUAGGCAGUCAGAGGCGAUGAAGGACGUGCUAAUCUGCGAUAAGCGUCGGUAAGCUGAUAUGAAGCGUUAUAACCGACGAUUUCCGAAUGGGGAAACCCAGUGCAACUCGUUGCACUAUCGUUAAGUGAAUACAUAGCUUAACGAAGCGAACCAGGGGAACUGAAACAUCUAAGUACCCUGAGGAAAAGAAAUCAACCGAGAUUCCCCUAGUAGCGGCGAGCGAACGGGGAGCAGCCCAGAACCUUAAUCAGCGUAUGUGUCAGAGGAACGGUCUGGAAAGUCCGGCGAUACAGGGUGAUAGCCCCGUACUUGAAAAUGCAUAUGUUGUGAGUUCGAUGAGUAGGGCGGGACACGUGACAUCCUGUCUGAAUAUGGGGGGACCAUCCUCCAAGGCUAAAUACUCCUGACUGACCGAUAGUGAACCAGUACCGUGAGGGAAAGGCGAAAAGAACCCCGGCGAGGGGAGUGAAAUAGAACCUGAAACCGUGUACGUACAAGCAGUGGGAGCCUCUUUUAUGGGGUGACUGCGUACCUUUUGUAUAAUGGGUCAGCGACUUAUAUUUUGUAGCAAGGUUAACCGAAUAGGGGAGCCGUAGGGAAACCGAGUCUUAACUGGGCGUCAAGUUGCAAGGUAUAGACCCGAAACCCGGUGAUCUAGCCAUGGGCAGGUUGAAGGUUGGGUAACACUAACUGGAGGACCGAACCGACUAAUGUUGAAAAAUUAGCGGAUGACUUGUGGCUGGGGGUGAAAGGCCAAUCAAACCGGGAGAUAGCUGGUUCUCCCCGAAAGCUAUUUAGGUAGCGCCUCGUGAACUCAUCUUCGGGGGUAGAGCACUGUUUCGACUAGGGGGUCAUCCCGACUUACCAACUCGAUGCAAACUACGAAUACCGAAGAAUGUUAUCACGGGAGACACACGGCGGGUGCUAACGUCCGUCGUGAAGAGGGAAACAACCCAGACCGCCAGCUAAGGUCCCAAAGUCAUAGUUAAGUGGGAAACGAUGUGGGAAGGCAUAGACAGCCAGGAUGUUGGCUUAGAAGCAGCCAUCAUUUAAAGAAAGCGUAAUAGCUCACUGGUCGAGUCGGCCUGCGCGGAAGAUGUAACGGGGCUAAACUAUGCACCGAAGCUGCGGCAGCGACACUUAGGUGUUGUUGGGUAGGGGAGCGUUCUGUAAGCCUGUGAAGGUGACCUGUGAGGGUUGCUGGAGGUAUCAGAAGUGCGAAUGCUGACAUAAGUAACGAUAAAGCGGGUGAAAAACCCGCUCGCCGGAAGACCAAGGGUUCCUGUCCAACGUUAAUCGGGGCAGGGUGAGUCGACCCCUAAGGCGAGGCCGAAAGGCGUAGUCGAUGGGAAACAGGUUAAUAUUCCUGUACUCGGUGUUACUGCGAAGGGGGGACGGAGAAGGCUAGGCUAUCCGGGCGACGGUUGUCCCGGUUUAAGCGUGUAGGGGGUGUGACUUGGUAAAUCCGGUCGCAUAUCAACCCUGAGGCGUGAUGACGAGUCACUACGGUGAUGAAGUAGUUGAUGCCAAGCUUCCAGGAAAAGCCUCUAAGCUCUAGGUAACAUUGAAUCGUACCCCAAACCGACACAGGUGGUCAGGUAGAGAAUACCAAGGCGCUUGAGAGAACUCGGGUGAAGGAACUAGGCAAAAUGGUGCCGUAACUUCGGGAGAAGGCACGCUGGCGCGUAGGUGAAGUCCCUUGCGGAUGGAGCUGAAGCCAGUCGAAGAUACCAGCUGGCUGCAACUGUUUAAUAAAAACACAGCACUGUGCAAACACGAAAGUGGACGUAUACGGUGUGACGCCUGCCCGGUGCUGGAAGGUUAAUUGAUGGGGUCAGCCGCAAGGCGAAGCUCUUGAUCGAAGCCCCGGUAAACGGCGGCCGUAACUAUAACGGUCCUAAGGUAGCGAAAUUC
rnacentral:rRNA from 1 species